CCUACGGGGGGCAGCAGUGGGGAAUAUUGGACAAUGGGGGGAACCCUGAUCCAGCCAUGCCGCGUGUGUGAAGAAGGCCCUCGGGUUGUAAAGCACUUUCAGUGAGGAAGAACGCCUGGUGGUUAAUACCCAUCAGGAAAGACAUCACUCACAGAAGAAGCACCGGCUAACUCCGUGCCAGCAGCCGCGGUAAUACGGAGGGUGCGAGCGUUAAUCGGAAUUACUGGGCGUAAAGCGCGCGUAGGUGGCUUGAUAAGGCCGUUGUGAAAGCCCCGGGCUCAACCUGGGAACGGCAUCCGGAACUGUCAAGCUAGAGUGCAGGAGAGGAAGGUAGAAUUCCCGGUGUAGCGGUGAAAUGCGUAGAGAUCGGGAGGAAUACCAGUGGCGAAGGCGGCCUUCUGGACUGACACUGACACUGAGGUGCGAAAGCGUGGGUAGCAAACAGGAUUAGAUACCCCUGUAGUC
rnacentral:rRNA from 1 species